rnacentral:rRNA from 1 species
CCUACGGGAGGCAGCAGUGAGGAAUAUUGGUCAAUGGGCGUAAGCCUGAACCAGCCAAGUCGCGUGAGGGAUGAAGGUUCUAUGGAUCGUAAACCUCUUUUAUAAGGGAAUAAAGUGUGGGACGUGUCCUGUUUUGUAUGUACCUUAUGGAUAAGGAUCGGCUAACUCCGUGCCAGCAGCCGCGGUAAUACGGAGGAUCCGAGCGUUAUCCGGAUUUAUUGGGUCUAAAGGGUGCGUAGGCGGCCUUUUAAGUCAGCGGUGAAAGUCUGUGGCUCAACCAUAGAAUUGCCGUUGAAACUGGGAGGCUUGAGUAUGUUUGAGGCAGGCGGAAUGCGUGGUGUAGCGGUGAAAUGCUUAGAUAUCACGCAGAACCCCGAUUGCGAAGGCAGCCUGCCAAGCCAUGACUGACGCUGAUGCACGAAAGCGUGGGGAUCAAACAGGAUUAGAUACCCCAGUAGUC